ACUCAAAUGAAUUGACGGGGGCCCGCACAAGCAGCGGAGCAUGUGGUUUAAUUCGAAGCAACGCGAAGAACCUUACCAGGACUUGACAUCGUCUGAAUCAUCCGUAAUGGGAAAAGUCCUUCGGGACAGACAGACAGGUGGUGCAUGGUUGUCGUCAGCUCGUGUCGUGAGAUGUUGGGUUAAGUCCCGCAACGAGCGCAACCCUUAUUGCUAGUUGCCAUCAUUAAGUUGGGCACUCUAGUGAGACUGCCGGAGACAAUUCGGAGGAAGGUGGGGAUGACGUCAAAUCAUCAUGCCCCUUAUGUUCUGGGCUACACACGUGCUACAAUGGGUGUAACAACGGGAAGCGAGCUGGUGACAGCAAGCCAACCUCUAAAAAGCACCCUCAGUUCGGAUUGCAGGCUGAAACCCGCCUGCAUGAAGUUGGAGUUGCUAGUAAUCGCGAAUCAGCAUGUCGCGGUGAAUACGUUCCCGGGCCUUGUACACACCGCCCGU
rnacentral:rRNA from 1 species